rnacentral:lncRNA from 12 species
UUAUUGUCUUACCACUUAUCCUCCAUGAACUAAAUUGGGAAUGUGAUUUAAAAUACUCUCCCAUCCCAGUCUCCCACAAAAAAAAAAAAAAAAAAAAAAGUGUAGCUGAGUGAGGAAAUGCAGAGCGUGGUGUCAUCUUAAAGGGUUUUAAAAACUGUAUAUUAGCUUGUCAGUUCAGCUGUGUACAAAGAUAACCAUAACAUAAAAGUUGUCCCUCUAGGAUGUCACACUCUUAUGCAAUGCAUCUUUCUUUCAGAUACUAUUUGAUGGAGAUCAGAACUUCUGAGUCAUAUAGCAUUUGCUUGUCUUAUAUUUCUUUAAAGGAUGACAAGAGAUCAAUUAAGGAGAAAGAAGAAUGUUAAUUCAAGAUGGACUAGGCCUACCCUAAUUGAAGAAUGGUGAACAAGAAUCUAGUCAAUGAAUUAUAACCUCAUUUUAAAAUUCAUUCAUCCAUUCAAUAAUUAAUUCUGAUGGCAUCUUACAUAAUUAAGAGAGGCUUUCCCUACAAAGUACAUGAAGGUAAAUGAACCUCUACUUCAAGCUUGACAUGUAUCUUUGGCUCACUGUUGAAAAAUACAUUACAAUGAAGCAACAGACAGGAUGCCUGAUCAGGUUUGGUGACGAAGCAGGUAAGAUUAAUAUCACUUCUGUGUAAUGAAUAAUUUUCAGGUAUGAAACACUAUGUCCUGUACUCUUGAAAGAGUUCUUUAGUCCUGUGGAUUUACAAAUACUACACUUUCAUUUUUGUGAUUAGAAAAAUACUGAAUUCUCAUUUGAGUGUGAUUGCUAACUUUUUGCAAAAAUGGAGAGAAGGGAUUAAUAAAAAUUCCUAUUGCUAGGAAAAGCUUGUUGGA